UAACACGUGGGGAACCUGCCCCAUAGUCUGGGAUACCACUUGGAAACAGGUGCUAAUACCGGAUAAGAAAGCAGAUCGCAUGAUCAGCUUUUAAAAGGCGGCGUAAGCUGUCGCUAUGGGAUGGCCCCGCGGUGCAUUAGUUAGUUGGUAAGGUAAAGGCUUACCAAGGCGAUGAUGCAUAGCCGAGUUGAGAGACUGAUCGGCCACAUUGGGACUGAGACACGGCCCAAACUCCUACGGGAGGCAGCAGUG
rnacentral:rRNA from 1 species